GACCGUGUGGCCUAAUAGAUAAGGGAUCUGACUUUGGAUCAGAAGAUUGAGGGUUUGAGUCCCUUUGUGGUCA
rnacentral:tRNA from 1 species